rnacentral:rRNA from 1 species
CCUCGGGAAACUGAGGUUAACCCGUCAUACCGAUCUCAGGCUUGAAUCGCAGAGAUCACAAAACGCCCCGGCGCUGUAGGAUGUGGCUGCGGUUGAUUAGGUAGACGGUGGGGUAACGGCCCACCGUGCCCAUAAUCAGUACAGGUUGUGAGAGCAAGAACCUGGAGACGGAAUCUGAGACAAGAUUCCGGGCCCUACGGGGCGCAGCAGGCGCGAAACCUUUACACUGCACGCACGUGCGAUAAGGGGACUCCGAGUGCGAGGGCAUAUCGUCCUCGCUUUCGUGUACCGUAGGGUGGUACACCAACAAGGGCUGGGCAAGACCGGUGCCAGCCGCCGCGGUAAUACCGGCAGCCCGAGUGAUGGCCGAUCUUAUUGGGCCUAAAGCGUCCGUAGCU